CAUUUGGUGGUUGUUCCAAAUAUUACAUGUAUCUACAGCUUAACAGGACAAGGUUCGUGUUUGAUCGAGAGUUUGACAAUUGUGCAGGAGUAUACCAAGACGUCCAAGCAUCAACUAGACAGAUCUGUAACGAUAUGAAUAAUUCAGACGUUUGCACCUUUAAUCUUUCUGGAGUAAUUAGGAAAGACCCAAAAUGUUUUCAAUCAAAUGGACUUUUGGUUGAGUUUACAUGUGAAGAGAGAGUAUCAAAUAUCUCAGACGAUACACAUAAGACACAUGUUCCCCUAGGCACAGAUUUGGUUAUUGGUAUUGUUGUCGCUAUCGUGUUGUUAGCGUGUGGUGUGGUUUUAAUUAUUUGUCUCAAAAGAAGGCGUGGUUUGUGCAGAAAACCUAAAGAAAACCAGAAAAAC